rnacentral:rRNA from 1 species
AUUUGAAGGGCUGCAGUAUUAUGACUGUACAAAGGUAGCAUAAUCAUUAGUCUUUUAAUUGGGGACUGGUAUGAAAGGUCUUACGGAGACGAACUGUCUCGAAUACAAUUAAUGAAUUUUAUUUUUAUGGAAAAGAGCUUAAAUUAGGCAAAGGGACGAGAAGACCCUAUUAAAUUUAAUUGGUAUAUAUUUGUGAUUUUGUUUUAAUAAAAAAUACAAUAGUAUAUUAAUUUUACUGGGGCGGUAGGUAAGUAACUUUAUUAGUUUUUAAUAUUUAUAAUUAACGAAUAUUUUGAUCCGAGUGGAUCGAUAAUAAGAUAAAAUUACUGUAGGGAUAACAGCGUAAUGUUUUUUGAGAGUUCAUAUUGACAAGAAUGUUUGCGACCUCGAUGUUGGAUUAAGAAGUCUUUUAGGUGUAGAAGUUUUAGAAGAGGGUCUGUUCGACCUUUAAAUUCUUACGUGAUCUGAGUUCAGACCGG